rnacentral:rRNA from 1 species
CCUACGGGAGGCAGCAGUGAGGAAUAUUGGUCAAUGGGCUUACGCCUGAACCAGCCAAGUCGCGUGAGGGAAGACUGCCCUAUGGGUUGUAAACCUCUUUUGUCAGGGAGCAACGCCGGCUACGUGUAGCCGGACUGAGAGUACCUGAAGAAAAAGCAUCGGCUAACUCCGUGCCAGCAGCCGCGGUAAUACGGAGGAUGCGAGCGUUCUCCGGAUUUAUGGGGUUUAAAGGGUGCGUAGGCGGAAUGCCAAGUCAGCGGUAAAAUCGCGGGGCUCAACCUCGCUCCGCCGUUGACACUGGCGUUCUUGAGUGGGCGAGAAGUAUGCGGAAUGCGUGGUGUAGCGGUGAAAUGCAUAGAUAUCACGCAGAACUCCGAUUGCGAAGGCAGCAUACCGGCGCCCAACUGACGCUGAAGCACGAAAGCGUGGGUAUCGAACAGGAUUAGAUACCCUUGUAGUC